GAAAAGACAGUGAAAAGAAGAGUACUGUGAUGAAACUUAUACAGAGAGUUCCGUUAGCUGAGAAGGAAUAAAGGGAAGUUAUAGGAAGAUGGUCUUGGAGUUGCAUGGCUGAAAUGUAAGUCAUGACGGGAGCGCCCGUUACAGCGAUAGAGUAUGCAUGUACUCGAAGAGGUUAUUAAGGUGACUUAAUAAUGAAUUUAGGUGGUAACACGAAACAUUACGUUCUCGUCCUAUUA
rnacentral:ncRNA from 1 species